GUAGGUGGCAAGCGUUGUCCGGAAUUAUUGGGCGUAAAGCGCGCGCAGGCGGGGUUUUUAAGUCUGGUGUGAAAGCCCACGGGCUCAACCGUGGAGGGUCAUUGGAAACUGGAGAACUUGAGUACAGAAGAGGAAAGCGGAAUUCCACGUGUAGCGGUGAAAUGCGUAGAGAUGUGGAGGAACACCAGUGGCGAAGGCGGCUUUCUGGUCUGUAACUGACGCUGAGGCGCGAAAGCGUGGGGAGCAAACAGGAUUAGAUACCCUGGUAGUCCACGCCGUAAACGAUGAGUGCUAAGUGUUAGGGGGUUUCCGCCCCUUAGUGCUGCAGCUAACGCAUUAAGCACUCCGCCUGGGGAGUACGGCCGCAAAGGCUG
rnacentral:rRNA from 1 species